rnacentral:tRNA from 1 species
GGAAUUGUGGCUCAGUGGUAGAGUGCUUGCCUAGCAUGUUAGAACCUGGGUUCUAUCCUCAGCUGUGUCC